rfam:Cephalotus follicularis DNA, scaffold: scaffold7226, isolate: St1.
GGGUGCGAUCAUUUCAGCACUAAUGCACAGGAUUACAUCAGAACUCCGAAGUUAAGUGUGCUUGGAUAAGAAUAGUUCUAAGAUGAGCUUGUCUUAUGAUUUUCAUAGAUUCAGGCU